AUAUCCUGGUUCAAGCAUGUAGAUAGAUUUCUUAGGUAAAUCCGGGAAGUCAAUAUCAAGAUGUGUUAACGAGUGAACUUUUGUUCAUGAAGUGAUUGAUACCACGCUUCCAAGAAAAGCCACUAAGCUUCAGUUAAAUUGAGACCGUACCGCAAACCAACACAGGUGGGCAGGAUGAGAAUUCUAAGGCGCUUGAGAGAACUCUGGAGAAGGAACUCGGCAAAUUUGUACCGUAACUUCGGGAUAAGGUACGCCCCAGUAGGUUGUAGCAUUUUACAUGCGAAGGCCGAUGGGGUUGCAGUGAAAUGGUGGCUGCGACUGUUUAUUAAAAACACAGCACUGUGCAAACACGAAAGUGGACGUAUACGGUGUGACUCCUGCCCGGUGCCGGAAGGUUAAUUGAUGGGGUGCAAGCUCUUGAUAGAAGCCCCGGUAAACGGCGGCCGUAACUAUAACGGUCCUAAGGUAGCGAAAUUCCUUGUCGGGUAAGUUCCGACCUGCACGAAUGGAGUAACGAUGGCCACACUGUCUCCUCUAGAGACUCAGCGAAGUUGAAAUGGUUGUGAAGAUGCAAUCUACCCGCGGUUAGACGGAAAGACCCCAUGAACCUUUACUAUAGCUUUACAUUGGACUUUGAUAACAUCUGUGUAGGAUAGGUGGGAGACUUUGAAGCAGGAUCGCUAGAUCUUGUGGAGUCACCCUUGAAAUACCACCCUGAUGUUGUUGAGGUUCUAACCCAGGUCCCUUAUCGGGAUCGGGAACCGUGUAUGGUGGGUAGUUUGACUGGGGCGGUCUCCUCCCAAAGAGUAACGGAGGAGUGCGAAGGUAACCUAGGCACGGUCGGAAAUCGUGCUGUUAGUGCAAUGGCAUAAGGUUGCUUGACUGCGAGACGGACAUGUCAAGCAGGUACGAAAGUAGGUCAUAGUGAUCCGGUGGUUCUGUAUGGAAGGGCCAUCGCUCAACGGAUAAAAGGUACUCUGGGGAUAACAGGCUGAUUCCUCCCAAGAGUUCAUAUCGACGGGGGAGUUUGGCACCUCGAUGUCGGCUCAUCACAUCCUGGGGCUGUAGUCGGUCCCAAGGGUAUGGCUGUUCGCCAUUUAAAGUGGUACGUGAGCUGGGUUUAAAACGUCGUGAGACAGUUUGGUCCCUAUCUGCCGUGGGCGUUGGAAGUUUGAAGGGGGCUGUUCCUAGUACGAGAGGACCGGAAUGGACAGAUCUCUGGUGGACCGGUUGUUACGCCAGUAGCAUAGCCGGGUAGCUAAAUCUGGAAGAGAUAAACGCUGAAAGCAUCUAAGCGUGAAACUUGCCCUAAGAUGAGACUUCCCUUGCACUUUAAGUGCACUAAAGAGUCGUUCAAGACCAGGACGUUGAUAGG
rnacentral:rRNA from 1 species